AUGCCGCUGCAGCCGAGUCCUGUGUGGCUUCCCAUCGACCUCAAUGUCACCAAAAGAUGUAUAAUGUACAAACUGCUCGUCUUGGAGGACGCCAGGAAUACACUGGACAAACAACUACGACGUUUAACCGAAAAGGCCAACGUGGAAGUCCGAAGCUUCCUGAGCGCGCCUCAUCCUAUCAAUGUGCUGGACAACCUCGUCAGGUCUCUGGAUGCUAAAUGUUAUGCCAUCGAGAAACUUUCAACUGCACUCAAAAACCUGACGACUGAUCCACAAUUCAGUGCCCCAGCUUCCACCAGACCGCUAAACAGCCUGUUGCAGCCAGCGCUAUCCAGAGACCGAGGCAUCAUGACAUCGUCAGACGUGCUGAAGUUUGGUCCCAUGCUGCAGAACGUCCUCAUGGCCGGCUCCAUCACCAAGGCAGUACAGAUGCUGGGAGCCUUGCCUGCCCUACAGCAACUCAAACUCUUCUGCUCCUCUUCCUCCUCUCAAGAUGAAGACUUCCAGAAGGAUCAGGUCUUUAUAUGCAGCAUCUCCUCCUCCAGCAAAGUGGCAAAGCUCCCAACCCCCAGCUCCUCAACCCCCAGCUCCUCAACCCCCAGCUCCUCAACCCCCAGCUCCUCAACCAGCGUAGCCAGUCUGAAUCUGACCAAAGACAAUGGGAUCUUUAUCUCCAAGGAGAAGACACCGCAGCAGCCAAAUACAACGACGGUUACAACCAAUCAAAUCAAAGAGAGCAGUCAAAUCAAACAAACACCCGGAGCAACAGAUCUAGACCUACCUGUCCCAGGUGAGCUCCUCUCAGGGUUCAGUAACCCAGCCUACCAGAUGACAGCCCUGGCUCCUCCCCCUCUAGAUUCAGGAAGUGACACCAGAGUGCAGCACCAGAAGCAAACUUCCUCUCAGCUCAUGCAAUUCCUGCGAACCAAUUGCAGGAACGAGCCGUUCACGGAGUUGGCCGCUUUCUUCCAGCACACCAGCUACUACCAGUACACCUCUGAUUCCACCGCCCCGGCAAUGACCUCUGACCCCCUCCUGGAAACAAAGCAUGCCCAGGAAACCCAGAAUGUUCUAGAAACUAAGAACCACAACGUCAGCGUCCCAAAGAAGGAGCUGUUCUCAGAGCUGCCAGAUAACCCGCUGAACCAAUAUGCCCCGGUGUUCACAGUAAAGCGUGUGGAGUCCGGAGGCUCUCUGAUCUUCAGCUGUAUCAUUGCCACCAAGACGGAGCUCUGGGACGUAGGAGACGUCUUUACCGAGGCGUCAAGGAGCGAUCCUUCCUCUGACGUCGUCACCACCUCGGAGAACAAGAUGUCUGCCGCUAGUCUCCAGUGUCGCAGUGUAGAGAUCUCUAAUACGACCCUCCAACCCCCAGCUCCAUCCAUCCACAGCCUACAGAUCAAAGAGGGACAUGUGACGGGGGAGGUUCAGGAAGAUAUCAACAAUAUCAGUCUGACUCCA
rnacentral:lncRNA from 13 species